rnacentral:tRNA from 1 species
GGCAAGGUGGCCGAGUGGUCCAAGGCGCCACGUUAAGGUGUUUAAACCCUUAAUCAAAAUCCGUGGUCUCGUUCAGGGGCGUGAGUUCGAAUCUCACCCUUGUCA